GGAACUGAGCUCUGUUGCUAUGAAGAAUACAGCUCAUGCACAGGACAUAUUUGGCUAAGACACAGCUACUUAUGAUGUCUACAUAAAUAACAUGAUCAGAGGACUUUGACCCAGCAGUCCUGGAAGCUCACGAAGACACUGUGCUGUGAUCCUGGAAAGAAAGGGAAGAGAGAGAAGGCCACGUAUGGUGGCUCACACCUGUUAUCUCAGCACUUUGGGAGGCCAAAGUAGUAAGAUUGCUUGAAGUCAGGAGUUCAAGAAAGGGAAGAGAGGAGCACUGUAGGUGAAGGCUGAGGCAGAGCUUUCUCUGAACUAAAAGAGGCCAGAUGUUGGCAACAGUGCCUCUGCGGGAGAAACUGAGCCCUGCACUAUGUUCGAAACAGAAGCUCAAAGGGGAAACCCCAGAAAGAAACUCCCAAAGUCACCCCUGAUUCUUCCACGUCCCAAACCUGAUAUAAAAGCCAUGAAGCCACUGGACCGAGUGACCAUGAGGCAGCAGCCCCUGAGAGUGUCAGAAUUCAAGUAUGACUUGGUGGCCUGUGAUAGAUGGCCAGCUAAGGAAGCCUUCCUAAUAUCUUGGUGCUGUGUCACUCCCCAGGAGCUAGGCCAACUAUGGGAAUGAAGAGGAAAUGGAAAAGAACCCAGAACGCCUGACCACCAACCCAGCAGGAUGGCUGCUGGGGUCUUAUUAAAUUAGUAAAAAAGAAAACAAAAGUGAUUUGUCAAUUACGUCACUGCCAUUUUUAGGAGAAAUUGUGAUCCUGUCACCCUUUUCCAGUAGAAGAGAUGUGGCCUGCUCACAACGCAGAUUCACCUCCAAUAGUGACCUCCUGAGCAAAAAGAGAAAUCCAUUUCCAUGUUCAUUUGGGCCUUUGGCCUGCCUACUGAGUAGGCCUGCAAGGCUGAAAACCAUGCUAAUUACAUAAGUGAUUUAAUUUCGAUAAUGUAAGAGCUGACCAUUAGAUAUCAAACCAGAUUUGAGAGGGAUUUGCUCUGCUUCAUGAUGUCAGAAUUGUCCACCAUUAGGCUGCUUCAUGCAGACUUUCUUUUUUUUUUACUAGUUGAAAGUAUUUAUAAAUAAUUUCAAAGAUUAAAAAACAUCAAGAAAUUUUAAAAGUCAAAAGCAUACCAAGGUUCUUGUGUGUAGAUAAUAUACAAACGUAAAAUAGAGAGGGUUUGUACCAGACCUUAAAAUGUGAUUGAUUUAGAGGCUCAGGUAUGAUUAACUUGAUUUUUUUUAUUUUUAUUUUUUUUGCUUCUGACACAAACUAAUCAUAGAAAAUGUCUUUUUCCAACCACUGUAGAGUUUAGUUUGGGGUACCUUGUAGAAAAUUGAUCCCAGCUACUGUGGAUAUAGUCAAGAAGAGACAUCAUUUCAAAUGUUUGAUGUGAUCCAUUAGGAAAAUUCCAAAUAUUGCCACAGGUUAAUCUUACCCUGCGUAGCAAAGUGGUUUCUUUCCUGCAAAGAUUAGUAUCCUUAAGAUUUAUUAAAUCCUGCAUCAACUGUA